GACGGAGGAUGCAAGCGUUAUCCGGAAUUAUUGGGCGUAAAGGGUGCGUAGGUGGUUAGACAAGUCCCAUGUCAAAGCAUGGUGCUUAACGCCAUAAAGGCGUGGGAAACUGUCGAACUAGAGUACAGCAGGGGCAGGAGGAAUUCCCGGUGUAGCGGUGAAAUGCGUAGAUAUCGGGAAGAACACCAGUGGCGCAAGCGUUCUGCUGGGCUGUAACUGACACUGAGGCACGAAAGCUAGGGGAGCGAAAGGGAUUAGAUACCCCUACACGUGA
rnacentral:rRNA from 1 species